GAUGAACGCUGGCGGCGUGCCUAAUACAUGCAAGUCGAGCGAACAGACGAGGAGCUUGCUCCUUUGACGUUAGCGGCGGACGGGUGAGUAACACGUAGGUAACCUACCUAUAAGACUGGGAUAACUUCGGGAAACCGGAGCUAAUACCGGAUAAUAUUUCGAACCGCAUGGUUCGAUAGUGAAAGAUGGCUUUGCUAUCACUUAUAGAUGGACCUGCGCCGUAUUAGCUAGUUGGUAAGGUAACGGCUUACCAAGGCAACGAUACGUAGCCGACCUGAGAGGGUGAGCGGACACACUGGAACUGAGACACGGUACAGACUACUACGGGAGGCAGCAGUAGGGAAGCUUACGCAAUGGGCGAAAGCCUGACGGAGCAGAGCCGCGUGAGGGAUGAAGGUCUGCGGAUCGUAAAACUCUGUUAGUAGGGAAGAACAUAUGUGUAAGUAACUGUGCACAUCUUGACGGUACCUAAUCAGAAAGACACGGCUAAAUACGUG
rnacentral:rRNA from 1 species